GUCGUGAGAUGUUGGGUUUAAGUACCGCACGAGCGCAACCCCUAUUGUUAGUUGCCAUCAUUCAGUUGGGCACUCUAGCGAGACUGCCGGUAAUAAACCGGAGGAAGGUGGGAUGACGUCAAAUCAUCAUGCCCCUUAUGACCUGGGCUACACACGUGCUACAAUGGUUGGUACAACGAGUUGCGAGUCGGUGACGGCGAGCUAAUCUCUUAAAGCCAAUCUCAGUUCGGAUUGUAGGCUGCAACUCGCCUACAUGAAGUCGGAAUCGCUAGUAAUCGCGGAUCAGCAUGCCGCGGUGAAUACGUUCCCGGGCCUU
rnacentral:rRNA from 1 species